rnacentral:rRNA from 1 species
UUCUAUAAGAUAUUAUUUAUAGUAUAAUCUGCUCAAUGGUUAUUAAAUAGCCGCAGAUAUUCUGUGCUAAGGUAGCAUAAUCACUCGAUUUUUAAUUAAAAUCUAGAACAAACGAUUAAACAUUUUAUUAAAUUUCUUAAAUUUUAAAUUUUUAAAUUAUCUUAACUGUAAAAAGACAGUUAUAUAACAGAAAGACGACAAGACCCUAUUGAACUUAACUAAAGUUUCAAGCUGGGGUAGCUAAUAAAUUAUUACUUUUAUUUAUAUAAAAAAAUAAAUUGACCUAAUAUUAUUAAUAAUAUAAUCAAGUUACCAUAGGGAUAACAGCAUAAUAAUUAUUUAAAGCUCUUAUUAAAAUAAUAGAUUAUGACCUCGAUGUUGAAUAAUAUUCUUUAACUUACGUAAAAAUAAUAAAAGAAAGUCUGUUCGACUUUUAAAAAAUUACA